rnacentral:lncRNA from 1 species
CUUGGAUUUAUGCCUGACAUUUAACGAAAAUAUAAUAAUAGAAUAUUCAUUUUUUUUUCUCAUUGAAAUAUAAAACAUGAUAUUAGAUUAAAAUGUCUCCUCCUUUAAGGGCUGUUUGUGUGUAGUAACAUGACCUGGUGGUAAUGUAUUCGCUGGAGCAGGUUUCUGAAGAAAAGAAUUAAAUAAAUAUAAUUACCACAAGUUUUAGAAAGUAGAGUCUAUUUGGUCCUGUCUUGUUAAAAUUUUUAGACCAAAAAUACAGGUAUAUUUUUUUUAAUUUUCUGUCAGACCAUGUUGAUUGAAAACUAAUUUACAUUAAAAAUAUUGAGAAGUUGAUACGGCC